GUCUCGGUUAACAAUGUCCCCUAAAAAUGUCCAUAUUUCAAUCGCCGUAGAGCAAAUGACGAGGUUUCUCUUAAAGCAAGCAAAGCGACCGCCUAAGCAUGCUUUCGAGGCAACUUAAGAUAGGAAAAAAACUCAAGAGUUCAGUGAUCAAACACCAACAGAGCCUCGUGAUAAGUUGCCUGUAAAGAGGAGCAUGAUCCCAUCAGAUGCCUCCGAAGAUAUUGACCUGAGGAACAAUGCUGCAAAGCUAAAUCUCAGUAAGCAAAGUGCUCAAACACCUACAGAGCCUUGUGACAAGUUGCUUGUACACAGAAGAGCCUGAUCCCAUCAGAUGCCUCCGAAGAGAUUGAAAAGAACUGUUUACGGACAUUUUCAGAACUGUUUUAGAACAUUUGUUCCAGACUUAUUUGAAGCAACCCUUCGAAACUGUUCUAAACAUUUCUAGAAUUGUACUGGAACACACCGGCUAGAACUGUUCUGUAAUCAUACUGAAAAUGUUCUAGAAUUAUUCUGGAACAGUUGUUGAACGUUAAAUGAGAAAAAAUUUCUAGAACAAUUCU